rnacentral:lncRNA from 1 species
AUGGGGCGGGGCAUUGCGGGGCGGGGCCUGGGCCGGGUGGCCGCGCGCUCGCCGCGCGGGUCUCCCGGCGCUGGUCUCCCGGCGCGGGCGCGUGGCGCCAUGCUGCUGCGCCCGGUGAUCGGGAAGCUGCAGCACAAGCGCGUGGUGUUGGCCAGCUCCUCCCCGCGCCGCCGGGAGAUCCUCAGCAAUGCUGGCCUCAGGUUCGAGGUGGUCCCGUCCAGGUUCAAGGAGAAGCUGCACAAGGGCUCGUUCGCCGCCCCGCACGCAUACGCCGUGGAAACGGCCAAGCAGAAGGCGCUGGAGGUGGCCGACCGGAUGCACCAGAAGGACCUGCGGGCCCCGGACGUGGUCAUCGGAGCCGACACCAUCGUGGCGGUCGGGGGGCUGAUCCUGGAGAAGCCGGUGGACAAGCAGGACGCCUACCGCAUGCUGUCGAGGCUCAGCGGGAAGGAGCACAGCGUGUUCACGGGCGUGGCCAUCGUCCACUGCUGCACCAGAGACGGUCAGCUGGACACUGAGGUGUCCGAGUUCUACGAGGAGACCACGGUGAAGUUCUCGGAGCUGUCGGAGGAGCUGCUGUGGGAAUACAUGGACAGCGGGGAGCCCAUGGACAAGGCCGGCGGCUACGGGAUCCAGGCGCUGGGUGGGAUGUUGGUGGAGUACGUGCGCGGCGACUUCCUCAACGUGGUGGGCUUCCCGCUGAACCGCUUCUGCAAGGAGCUGGCGCGCCUGUACCACGCACCGCGGGCCCCCGGCACCCCGCGGCCGGUCCAGCACGACUCCAUCCCAGCUGUCGACACGUUCGAGGAUCUCAGCGAUGGCGAGGGAGGCGGCUCUGACCCCGCUCCGGCCAGCGGGGGCCUGCAGGCUGGCGGGGCGCGGCCGCAGGCUCCCCGCACCCAGGAGGCGGACCUGAACGGGGUGACGGACAGCCAGCCCGGGCUCCCCGCGGGCCUCCUGGAGCUGAUGGACGGCUUCAAAGCAUCCAAGGUCCUGCUCACGGCCUGCAAGCUCCAAGUGUUCGAUGUACUGAAAGACCGAGGACCCCUGUCAGCCAUGGACGUCGCCCGCGAAAUCGACGCCUCGGUGGGUGGCACCGCGCGCCUGCUUGACGUCUGUGCAGCCCUGGGGUUGCUGGACAAGUCGGACAGAGGUUACAGCAACACGGAGACGGCCAGCCUGCACCUGGCGUCAGACGGCGAGCAGUCUCUCCACGGCCUGGCCGCCUACCACGACGGGCCCGUCUGGGGCGCCUUCACGCACCUGGGCCGGGCCGUGCGGGAGGGGGCAGCGUGGACCCCAGAGCCGCUGCUGCAGGGCCCCCACAAGUGGAGCACAGAGGCGACCCUGCAGUUCAUGAGGGCCUCGCACGGCCUCAGCAAGCUGACCGCCCAGCACGUGGCCACGGCCUUUGACCUGUCCCCAUUCACCUCCGCCUGCCACCUGGGAGGCUGCACGGGCGCCCUGGCCCACAAGCUUGUCCAGGAGUACCCGCGUCUGCAGGUGACCGUGUUUGACCUCCCAGAGGUCAUCAAGCUUGCCGGGGACUUCCAGACCGACGCACAGCCGUCAGAGCGGGUCCACUUUGUGCCAGGUGACCUUUCCAGCGACAGCCUCCCGCCCGCAGACCUAUACAUUUUCUGCAGCCUCCUGCACGACUGGCCCGACGACCGACUCCACGGGCUCCUGAGCCGGAUCUCCGGCAGCUGCAAACCAGGCGCUGGCCUCCUGCUGGCCGAACUGGCGCCCGCGGAGGAGGAGGAGGAGGCCAGCGGGGCGGCGCGGAGGCCCCCCGGGCUGCGGACCCGGGGGGUGGGCCGGCGCCCCCGGAGCCCCGGGCAGUACCGGCGCCUCCUGCAGCGGCUCGGCUUCCAGGACGUGCAGGCGGCGCGCGCGGGAGGCCUGCUGCACGUGGUCCUGGGGACCCGGGCCCCACCCUGACGGUCGCCCCGCCGCGAGCUCACAGCGCGAGCCCGGCUGGGAUGAUUCCCAGAGAAGAGGUGUCUCGCGGGGCAACGAUUAUUAAAGGAGGCGGCAAGCAGGCAGUCUCCGCGCGCGUCUGUAGUGGGUGCCCUGGACCCAGGACAUGCGCGCCCCCAACCCGGGAGCGGAAGGCUACGCGGGCUGGGAGUGCUUGGUGGGGGAGCGUUGCGGGGACUCGGAGAGGGGCCUGGGGCGCCCCGGGGCUGGAGGCGACCGACAGAGGGGACCCCCCCAGGAAAGCCAGGGGGCGCGGUCCUCCCCCCGAGGGCACCUGGUCGCAGCCAGGCUGGGCCCCCAGUGACAAGUGACGUGCGAAGCCAGCCCCGGGGGCGCGUGGGGGGCGCGGUCCCUCGGGACAACAGGUUCCCUAGAAGAAACUUUCCCUUCUAACCAGAGGGGUCUGAACACCCGCCCGCGGGGAGGGGGGUACCCGAGCCCCCCACCCCACCCCAAGAGCCCUUGCUGCAGUCCGCCUAACGCAGGCGGGACUCAGGGGUCCCACACCCACGACCAGGCCCGCGAGCCAAGGACACGCCCGAGCGGGACCCCCAGCUGGAGGCUGACGGCAGCUAACGUCUGCGGAAGCGAGGCGCGCCGGCCCGUGCGGGCCUUAUCCGCCUCACUCUCCUUUUCCUGUUGGGACUCUCUGCAGUUAAAAAAAAAAGCACACACACAUUAAACGCGAGAGGUGGAAUACGACUGACGGACACGCAACCCGUCUCUUCAUCGCUCCAAACGCGAACAAGCAGGCGCGCUAGGGUCAAAGAGCCCGCCUGCUAGUGCCGGAGACCUAAGAGCCGCAGCUUCGAGCCCCGGGUGGGGAAGAUCCCCUGCAGGAGGAAAUGGUGACCCACGGCAGUACCCUUGCCUCGAGAAUCCCACGGACAGGGGAGGCUGGGGGGCUGCGGUCCACGGGGUCGCAGAGAUCGGAGACGAGCAAAGCAACUGAGCGUGCACAAGGGUUUCCAGGCUAGAAUUUGCCAGGGCCUGGCCCCACCCUCCAGGCGCAGUCCGUUCAUUUACUCACUCAGCAGAUGACGGCCUGCCUACUGCCCAGCAGGACUGUCUGCACGCAUCACGGGCUCACAUCUGCCCUUUUCACGCCUCUGGGGUGCGUGGGUGGGCACGACCAUAGGCCAAAAGGAUGUAACUUGACCACCAGUGUGUCCGGCCUGCCCGCCUCACCAACAUUCCCUCGUAGGAUCCCUGGGGGUCUCCAGCGGGCACGGUCACCGAGCGGGCCACCCAUCAGUCACCAGACCAGGUCCCUUAAAGGCAGGGUCUGAUCCUGGCAGCGCCAGUGGUAAAAAAGAAACAAACAAAAAGGCCACUUGCCGAUGGAGGAGACGUCGGUUUCAUCUCUGCGCUGGGAAGACCCCCUGGAGGAGGGCAUGGCGACCCACUCCAGGAUUCUUGCCUGGAGAAUCCCAUGGACAGAGGAGCCUGGUGGGCUGUAGUCCAUGGGGUCGCAGAGAGUCAGACACGCCUGAGCGACUGAGCAGAGGGCAACGCUGUCUCUGGCUGACACCGAGGGGGGACUCACAGAGAGCUUGGCUCGUGCACCCCAUUCCCCUCCACCCCCGAAAUGCGCCCCUCAGCUCUUGCGUUACUCAGCCAAUCGUCUUUAACCACCUCUUUUAGUUAACCCACCCAUCUUUCAGAUGUCGCUGAGUCGUUAAGCGUCCUGUCUGGCUUUUUUUUUUUUUUUGCAACCCACACGGACUGCAGCCUGCCAGGCUCCUCUGUCCGUGGGAUUUCUCAGCCAAGACUGCUGGAGCUUCCCUGUGGCUCAGACGGUAAAGCAUCUGCCUGCAGUGCAGGAGACCUGGCUUCGAUCCCGAGGCCGGGAAGAUCCCCCUGGAGGAGGAAGUGGCAACCCGCUCCAGCAGGCUGGCUACAGUCUGUGGGGUCGGGGAGUCGGACGUGACAGGACAAAAACCAUCUCUCGGAUACGCAGCCUCUAACGCUGUGCACGUCGGAAUUAAAGCUCGGGCCGGUGCUGAGGAAUAGGGACCAGCCUUUGGUCUCUGCACCCCUGCCCCCCGGAGUCCUGGAACAGAACCCCUUCCUUCCCCCACCCCCACCCACCAUCCCACCUCCCUUAACCGUCCCCAUCCCAAUACCCACAGGUGCACAGUCUUUCCCCCAACACCCGGGGUGUCUGUGGUCCUGCCGCCCUCCCGGGUCAGCCGUUAGGGGAGCGCAAGGCCUGGGCCACCAAUGCCCCCCAGCCGUCCUCCCAGAACACACACAGGGAGCAGACACCCAUCUAAGGCCCACGUGAAGUGCUUUUAAAGGAGAAACAUGUUCUGCGGCCUAGUUAGCAACGAGGACAGACGUCACACUGAUCCAGUCCUUCCCGCAGAGAGCAAGCGGCUGAGGAGUCGGGGCCGGGGGGAGGGGUGACCCCUGGGAUGCACGCAGGACCCCAGGGAGUUGGGGGGAGGGGUCCGUCACAUAGGGGAGGGGACAGGGUGGCGCAGAGGUUAACCGCCUCCACCACCAAGGCUGCAGAGAGCCGUCCUGGGGUGCCCAACGCCCGCUCUUAAAGCAAAGUUCAGAGUGCCAGGGCCUCGCAGCCUGAAGGACCAGCUCCAGCUGGAAAAUCCUCCUUGGCCCAGCGGGCAGAGAUAAGCAUCGCAGGGCCCCGCCCCGCCCAGACGGGCGGGUACCCGAUGUAUAGAAACCACAGAUGACAGGAGGGACGCCUCCCUCACCCGGGCGUGCCCCGGAGCCAGCGACGCGUCCCUGCCCAGAACCUGGGGCGGCCUCGCCCUCUCUUCCAGCGCCGUGUGGUCGCGACCGGCCGGAACCGGGCUGGGCCACCAGCCAGCUCCAUCCUCCAGGCCCCAGGCCAGCUUCAGUGAAGCUUCAGAAGAUGCCAGAACACCAAGGCACUUAGCCCGCUGCGAUCCGCAUCUGCUGACAGCGGCCUGAUCUGUCCCCACCCCUCUGGGGCCCAGCCAUUCUCAGGCCUCACCUCUUACCUGCCUCUCCCCAGGAAGAGGACUCAGGAAGGCCCUCCUGCCAGGACACCAGGGGCUGGGGUGGGGGGAGGGGGGUGCCUCGGCUCUCGUGGGUCAGCAGCCCCUAGCAUCCAUCCCUCCAUCCAGCGUCACGUGGAGGAGACCCCCUCAUGAGAAGGAGGGUGGGGCGGCAGAAAGGACAGAGAGACAGGGAUGAGAAAGAAAGAAGCAACAGAAACAGCAAAGUGUCAGUCGCUCAGUCGUGUCUGACUCUUGGCGACCCCAUGGACUGUAGCCCACCAGGCUCCUCUGUCCAUGGGUUUCCCGGGCAACAAUACCGGACUUGGGUGGCCAUGCCCUCCUCCAGGGGAUCUUCCAGACCCCGCCAUCGAAACCUGGCUGCAGGCAGGUUCUUGACCAUCAGAGCCAUUGUGGGGGGAGGGGCAUAAAGGAAAAAGAGGAAGGGGGAUAGAAAGGAAAAGCAACAGGGCAGAGAGGCAAAUUAGAAAGAAUUCUCGCACCUGCGUCGCUACAAAGACUUUGUUUUCUGGACCUGGCUACUGACACACCUCGGCUUUCGCUUUGUGAAAAUUCACAGGACGAUACACUUUGUACUUGUUUCAAUAAAGAGGUCACAGGGUCUUCCUUUGGUGGCUCA